rnacentral:rRNA from 1 species
AGGUCGUUCCGCGGAGGCACUGCGCCACUCCAAGUCCAUUCAUGAGUACGGUUGUACAGACUUGGCCCACAGAGGGUGAAAGGCCCGUGGGGGUGGUGCUGCAGAUACGAUAGUGCCUCUCUGGGUAGACCUUGGAGUCGGGUUGUUUGUGAAUGCAGCCCAAAGUGGGUGGUAAACUCCAUCCAAGGCUAAAUACUUACACGAGUCCGAUAGCGAACAAGUACCGUGAGGGAAAGUUGAAAAGUACUUUGAAGAGAGAGUAAACAGUGCGUGAAACCGCUCAGAGGUAAACGGGUGGAGUUGAACUGCGAGCCCAUAGAAUUCAGCUGGUGAGUGUGGUCUGAGCUUGUUCAGGUUGGCUGUACACUGGAGUCUGCGAAGUAGCAUGUCUCUUCCUUCUGGUGGAGAUGCGCGAGACACCUAAAUAAGUGUUGUGCGCUCCAGUUGUAUACGGGCCUACUUGCCGGUGCAUUUUCUCUGGGUGUUCACCACGACCGGCACUGCUGUCUGGCUGCUGGGGUUAAACCGAUCUUGCUCUUUGCUCGUGGCUUUGCUUGGACCGGGUGGCAGGAACCUGUUGGCUAGUCUUUUACCUGCUUUCGGGUGUAAUCAACUGACCAUUAUGGUCUGUGCAGUGUGUCGAAACGCCGCUUUUUGGUUUGAGCUCGCCUGCCUAGUCUUCUUCUUGGACAGUCUGGUGCUCUUUUUGCUUUGUUUGCAAGCUAACGAAGGCCUGCUUUGGUUGUGGCGUAGCCGGCGGGGACACUAUCAAGGCCCA